rnacentral:rRNA from 1 species
UGCAGUCGACGGAAGGCCCGCUUGCGGGUACUCGAGUGGCGAACGGGUGAAGUAACACGUGGGUAACCUGCCCCCAUCUCUGGGAUAACCGUUGGAAACGGCGGCUAAUACCGGAUACGACCACCUUCCGCAUGGUUGGUGGUGGAAAGUUUUUGCGGUUGGGGWGGGGCCCGCGGCCUAUCAGCUUGUUGGUGCGGUAGUGGCGCACCAAGGCUUUGACGGGUAGCCGGCCUGAGAGGGCGGUCGGUCACAUUGGGACUGAGAUACGGCCCAGACUCCUACGGGAGGCAGCAGUGGGGAAUUUUGCACAAUGGGCGCAAGCCUGAUGCAGCGACGCCGCGUGAGGGAUGACGGCUUUCGGGUUGUAAACCUCUUUUAUCCACCACGAAGGCCAGGUAUUCGCCUGGUUGACGGUAGUGGUUGAAUAAGCGCCGGCUAACUACGUGCCAGCAGCCGCGGUAAGACGUAGGGCGCGAGCGUUGUCCGGAUUUAUUGGGCGUAAAGGGCUCGUAGGCGGUUGAUUGCGUCCGCCGUGAAAGGCCUCGGCUUAACCGGGGUUUUGCGGUGGAUACGGGUCGACUUGAGGCAAUUAGGGGAGAUCGGAAUUCUACGUGUAGCGGUGAAAUGCGCAGAUAUGUGGAGGAACACCGGUGGCGAAGGCGGAUCUCUGGGAUUGUUCUGACGCUGAGGAGCGAAAGCGUGGGGAGCGAACAGGAUUAGAUACCCUGGUAGUCCAUGCUGUAAACGGUGGGCGCUAGGUGUGGGGUCACGUUGGUUGAUUCUGUGCCGUAGCUAACGCAUUAAGCGCCCGCCUGGGGAGUACGGCGCAGGCUAAACUCAAAGGAAUUGACGGGGCCGCACAGCGGCGAGCAUGCGAUAUUCGAUGCACGCGAGACUACUAGUUGACAUCACGGACUCU